UACGUAGGUGGCAAGCGUUGUCCGGAUUUAUUGGGCGUAAAGCGCGCGCAGGCGGUGCGUUAAGUCCGAGGUGAAAUCUCCCGGCUCAACUGGGAUAGGUCUUCGGAUACUGGCGGACUUGAGGAGAGCAGAGGUGAGUGGAAUUCUGGGUGUAGUGGUGAAAUGCGUAGAUAUCCAGAGGAACACCAGUGGCGAAGGCGGCUCACUGGGCUCCACCUGACGCUGAGGCGCGAAAGCGUGGGGAGCGAACCGG
rnacentral:rRNA from 1 species